rnacentral:misc_RNA from 1 species
GAAAUGCGAUAAGUAGUGUGAAUUGCAGAAUUCAGUGAAUCAUCGAAUCUUUGAACGCACAUUGCGCCCCUUGGUAUUCCAUGGGGCAUGCCUGUUCGAGCGUCAUUUGUACCCUCAAGCUCUGCUUGGUGUUGGGUGUUUGUCCCGUCUCCGCGCGUGGACUCGCCACAAAGUGAUUGGCAGCCGGCGUACUGGUCCCGGAGCGCAGCACAUGUCGCGCAAACGAGUGCCUUGGUACGGCGGCGUCCAUAAGCCCCUCUCUCACGCUCUUGACCUCGGAUCAGGUAGGGAUACCCGCUGAACUUAAGC